GACGAACGCUGGCGGCGUGCUUAACACAUGCAAGUCGAACGAUGAAAGAGGAGCUUGCUUCUCUGGAUUAGUGGCGAACGGGUGAGUAACACGUGAGUAACCUGCCCUUGACUCUGGGAUAAGCGCUGGAAACGGCGUCUAAUACCGGAUACGAGCUUCCGCCGCAUGGUGAGGAGCGGGAAAGAAUUUCGGUCAAGGAUGGACUCGCGGCCUAUCAGCUUGUUGGUGAGGUAAUGGCUCACCAAGGCGACGACGGGUAGCCGGCCUGAGAGGGUGACCGGCCACACUGGGACUGAGACACGGCCCAGACUCCUACGGGAGGCAGCAGUGGGGAAUAUUGCACAAUGGGCGCAAGCCUGAUGCAGCAACGCCGCGUGAGGGAUGACGGCCUUCGGGUUGUAAACCUCUUUUAGUAGGGAAGAAGCGAAAGUGACGGUACCUGCAGAAAAAGCACCGGCUAACUACGUGCCAGCAGCCGCCGUAAAAC
rnacentral:rRNA from 1 species